rnacentral:rRNA from 1 species
UACGGGGGGAGCAAGCGUUGUUCGGAUUUACUGGGCGUAAAGGGCGCGUAGGCGGCCACCGCAAGUCGACUGUGAAAUCUCCGGGCUUAACCCGGAAAGGUCAGCCGAUACUGCGGGGCUAGAGUGCAGAAGGGGCAACUGGAAUUCUCGGUGUAGCGGUGAAAUGCGUAGAUAUCGCUUGGAACGCCAAAGGUGAAAACAGGUUGCUGGGGUUGUGCCGACGCUGAGACACGAAAGCCAGGGGAGCAAACGGG